AGUUUGAUCCUGGCUCAGGAUGAACGCUAGCGGCAGGCCUAAUACAUGCAAGUCGAACGGUGCAGUAGCGAUACUGCAUAGUGGCAAACGGGUGCGUAACGCGUAAGCAACCUGCCCACAACUGGGGGAUAGCCCGGCGAAAGCGGGGGUAAACCCGCAUGGUCCUUUCUUCUCACCUGGGAAGUGAGGUAAACAUUAAUGGGUUGUGGAGGGGCUUGCGUCUGAUUAGGUAGUUGGGGGGGUAACGGCCCACCAAGCCGAUGAUCAGUAGGGGUUCUGAGAGGAUUGGCCCCCACAUGGGUACUGAGAUACGGACCCAACUCCUACGGGAGGCAGCAGUAGGGAAUAUUGGGCAAUGGGGGCAACCCUGACCCAGCCAUGCCGCGUGGAGGAUGAAGGCGCUCAGCGUCGUAAACUUCUUUUAUCUGGGAAGAACAGUGGGUUUGCGAACUUACCUGACGGUACCAGAGGAAUAAGCACCGACUAACUCCGUGCCAGCAGCCGCGGUAAUACGGAGGGUGCAAGCGUUGUCCGGAUUUAUUGGGUUUAAAGGGUGCGUAGGUGGGAUUCUAAGUCUGGUUUGAAAGCCGGCGGCUCAACCGUUGGAUGUGGCUGGAAACUGGGGUUCUUGAAUGGGUUGGCGG
rnacentral:rRNA from 1 species